GGGGGAUAGUUUAAAAUGGAAAAACACCGAGACUGCUCGUCCGGAGAUACAGGUUCGAGCCCUGCUCCUCCA
rnacentral:tRNA from 1 species